rnacentral:rRNA from 1 species
UACGUAGGGAGCAAGCGUUGUCCGGAAUUAUUGGGCGUAAAGGGUAGGUAGGUGGUCUUAUUUGUCUGGGGUGAAAGCCUUGAGCUUAACUCAAGAAGUGCCCCAGAAACGGUAAGACUAGAGUCCUGGAGAGGGUCGUGGAAUUCCCGGUGUAGCGGUGAAAUGCGUAGAGAUCGGGAGGAACACCAGAGGCGAAAGCGGCGACCUGGACAGGCACUGACACUCAACUACGAAAGCGUGGGGAGCAAACAGG